CUCACCUGGAGCAUGUUUUCU
rnacentral:miRNA from 1 species